UUCUUCCUCUUUUCCAUCUUCCUCUUCCUUGACUCCUCUUCUCAUUUCCUUCGUCGCUCAACAUGACUAUUGACUCAAUCGAUUGGGAGCUCAGCCACUUUUGAUUUGUGGCAUGGCAUCUUCAGCGGCCUGCUCCAUCGUUGUUGUUCAACCACCAAUCAACUCCAUCACAGCCUUUGGAGAGAUCAAGGGUUUUACAUGUUCACAUCGUAGAGCGAAAUAGGACUUCUAAUGGCCCAAUCGCCACCUUUCAUGAUCCCCAAUAUGACGACACCGAAGAUUCUCCGCCAAAGCUCUCUGGUUUUUCGAAAGCCACCAACUUUUUGAUUGUGAAGAGAGAAGGCACGCGUUCGCCUCUGAGAAGCUGGAUGGACACAACGACGUAGUCAAUUUCAUCUUUCCAGGGACUUGGUUAAGCUGUUUUGAAAGGUUGAAAAAGAUGAAGGGGAAGAAACUCGACCUCAACCUCUCGUCUUCAUCGAAGUUGCGAAGAAAUUCCUAGAGCACACCCAACUAGUGAGCAUACCUAGACUUGAUGAAAUCCUCUAUAUUUGGUUGAUUUCAUCUAUCGUGGUGUAUUUUUGCUUAAUUAGUUAUAUUAUUCACCGACUGAAUUGACAAGUUUGGGUGCUCCAUUAUCCACGCAUUGUUUUUUGUUUGUUUUUGCUGAUUUGAAUUUUAUGGAUCAUUUUAGUUAAAUUUGUGAGUUCCGGAGUUGAAAAUAAUAUCAGUGCCUACAAAUUUCGUUUUGA